rnacentral:rRNA from 1 species
UACAGAGGGUGCAAGCGUUGUUCGGAAUUACUGGGCGUAAAGCGUGUGUAGGCGGCCAAGCAAGUCGGAUGUGAAAGCCCAGGGCUCAACCCUGGAAGUGCACUCGAUACUGCCUGGCUUGAGUAUCGGAGAGGUUGGUGGAAUUCUCGGUGUAGAGGUGAAAUUCGUAGAUAUCGAGAGGAACACCGGUGGCGAAGGCGGCCAACUGGACGAAUACUGACGCUGAGACACGAAAGCGUGGGGAGCAAACAGG